ACUCCUACGGGAGGCAGCAGUGGGGAAUAUUGCACAAUGGGCGCAAGCCUGAUGCAGCCAUGCCGCGUGUGUGAAGAAGGCCUUCGGGUUGUAAAGCACUUUCAGUCGUGAGGAAGGUAGUGUAGUUAAUAGCUGCAUUAUUUGACGUUAGCGACAGAAGAAGCACCGGCUAACUCCGUGCCAGCAGCCGCGGUAAUACGGAGGGUGCGAGCGUUAAUCGGAAUUACUGGGCGUAAAGCGCAUGCAGGUGGUUUGUUAAGUCAGAUGUGAAAGCCCGGGGCUCAACCUCGGAAUAGCAUUUGAAACUGGCAGACUAGAGUACUGUAGAGGGGGUUAGGAAUUUCAGGUGUAGCGGUGAAAUGCGUAGAGAUCUGAAGGAAUACCGGUGGCGAAGGCGGCCCCUGGACAGAUACUGACACUCAGAUGCGAAAGCGUGGGAGC
rnacentral:rRNA from 1 species